UACGGGGGGGGCAAGCGUUGUUCGGAAUUACUGGGCGUAAAGGGCGCGUAGGCGGUUUGCUAAGUUGGAUGUGAAAACUCUGGGCUUAACCCAGAGCCUGCAUCCAAAACUGGCAAACUUGAGUACUGGAGGGGAAAGCGGAAUUCCUGGUGUAGCGGUGAAAUGCGUAGAUAUCAGGAGGAACACCAGUGGCGAAGGCGGCUUUCUGGACAGUAACUGACGCUGAGGCGCGAAAGCUAGGGGAGCAAACGGG
rnacentral:rRNA from 1 species